GGUUAACUGACUGAGCUACCCAGGCACCCCUGUGAACUAUUUUAAAAUAUGUGGUUUAAAUAAAUUAUUCAAUACAAUGUAAAAUAUAGCAACUGUUGUACUUAAAAUGAUAUGUAGAACAACAAAAACUGAUCUACAGCCUCUUCUCUAAGAAGAAUCCCAAGGGAAUUGAAUGUGGAGCAGUGUGGAUCAAGGAGCAAAAUGUCUCUUUCUUCCUUUUACAGUUGACCUUUGAACACUGUUUAAACUGCCCUUGUUCACUUAUACAUGGAUUCUUUUUUGAUGAAUACAGUACAAUACUGGUCCUUGAGAAGUAGUCCUUUGACUUCCAGUACAUCAUAAACAGAGGGCAGUCGUGGAAAUAUUUUCAGGAGAUAUUGCACAAGCAGGGACUAGAAUGGGAAGACCGCUUUCUUUGGGAAGCUGGAGAAGAAGUGCUUGACAACUCCAAGGCUUGGAGCCAAGCUAUUCUGAGAUCAUAAAGGAAAAGGGCUCCUUUCUCCCAGAAUUGGUUUCUUCUAAGGUCCAGAAGGCCCUUUGGAUGAGCCAAGCUGGGUUCCUGUGCCAACUCCUGUGGCCGGAGGAGUGGAAUCUUUGACCGGAAAAGGGAUGUCACGCAGAGAGAGAGACAGUGAGAGAGGAAAUACAAGCAGG